GUGCUUGUGGUGUAUUGGUAAUCACAUCCGCCUAACGCGCGGAUGGUCCAAGGUUCGAUCCCUGGCAGGCACA